rnacentral:rRNA from 1 species
CUGGCGGCGUGCUUAACACAUGCAAGUCGAACGCGAAAGGGACUUCGGUCCUGAGUAAAGUGGCGCACGGGUGAGUAACGCGUAGAUAACCUGUCUUCAUGUCUGGAAUAAUACGCCAAAGGGGUACUAAUACCGGAUAUUCUUGCUUUUCAUAAGUUAUGCAAGCAAAGGUGGCCUCUGCAUAUGCUACUGCAUGAAGAGGGGUCUGCGUACCAUUAGCUAGUAGGUGGGGUAAUGGCCUACCUAGGCGACGAUGGUUAGCGGGUCUGAGAGGAUGAUCCGCCACACUGGCACUGGAACACGGGCCAGACUCCUACGGGAGGCAGCAGUGAGGAAUAUUGCGCAAUGGGGGAAACCCUGACGCAGCGACGCCGCGUGAGUGAGGAAAGGCCUUCGGGUCGUAAAGCUCUGUCAAGAGGAAAGAAGUGUACAAUGGCUAAUACCUGUUGUAUUUGACGGUACCUCUAAAGGAAGCACCGGCUAGCUCCGUGCCAGCAGCCGC